CCGAGCAUAGCUUAAUAUAGAUAUCACUUGGUGGUCACCCUACGGGGGUGCUGAUCUUUGGGUCCUGCGUAAUGGGCACCUGCGAAUCGUGUCAGGGCAGGAAUGCAGCAGCACUAAGUAGGACCGUUCAUCUGACGUGGGGUUGCCUGGAGGGAGCCUCCGCAGGAUGACUACCAAAUGAUAUCUAUUCAGGCGGCUCGG
rnacentral:SRP_RNA from 1 species